rnacentral:rRNA from 1 species
GAACGAACGCUGGCGGCAUGCCUAACACCUGCACGUCGAACGAGACCUUCGGGUCUCGUGGCGCACGGGUGCGUAACGCGUGGGAACCUGCCCUUAGGUUCGGAAUAACUCCCCGAAAGGGGUGCUAAUACCGGAUAAUGUCUUCGGACCAAAGAUUUAUCGCCUUUGGAUGGGCCCGCGUUGGAUUAGCUAGUUGGUAGGGUAAAAGCCUACCAAGGCGACGAUCCAUAGCUGGUCUGAGAGGAUGAUCAGCCACACUGGGACUGAGACACGGCCCAGACUCCUACGGGAGGCAGCAGUGGGGAAUAUUGGACAAUGGGCGAAAGCCUGAUCCAGCAAUGCCGCGUGAGUGAUGAAGGCCUUAGGGUUGUAAAGCUCUUUUACCCGGGAUGAUAAUGACAGUACCGGGAGAAUAAGCACCGGCUAACUCCGUG